rnacentral:rRNA from 1 species
UAGUCCACGCCGUAAACGAUGAUAACUAGCUGUCCGAACCCACAGGGUUUGGGUGGCGCAGCUAACGCAUUAAGUUAUCCGCCUGGGGAGUACGGUCGCAAGAUUAAAACUCAAAGGAAUUGACGGGGGCCUGCACAAGCGGUGGAGCAUGUGGUUUAAUUCGACGCAACGCGAGGAACCUUACCUAGGCUCGAACGCUAUUCGACAGCACCUGAAAGGGUGUUUCUCUUCGGAGUGGAUAGUGAGGUGCUGCAUGGUUGUCGUCAGCUCGUGCCGUGAGGUGUUGGGUUAAGUCCCGCAACGAGCGCAACCCUUAUUCUUAGUUGCCAGCACAUAAUGGAGGGGACUCUAGGAAGACUACCGGCGUAAGCCGUGAGGAAGGUGGGGACGACGUCAAAUCAUCAUGGCCUUUAUGCCUAGGGCUACACACGUGCUACAAUGGUGCAUACAGCGGGUAGCGAAAUCGCGAGGUGGAGCUAAUCUUGUAAAGUGCAUCCCAGUUCGGAUUGG